UCCCUGGUGGCUCAGUGGUUAAAGCGUCCACCUGCAAUGCGGGAGACCUGGGUUCGAUCCCUGGGUCGGGAA
rfam:Ovis aries breed Texel chromosome 5, whole genome shotgun sequence.